rnacentral:lncRNA from 1 species
GGGUUGCCGGAGUAGGGGUCGUCGGCUAUGGUGGAAGAAUCCGAACAAAUACCAAUUCUACUUUUGUACAUCCAAAUUGAAAAUUGAAUUGAAUUCUUUCCUAAGAUUCCAAACGCCAAUACAAUGACAUCCAAACAAUAGAAUUGGAAUUGCAUCUCAUUUCAAUACCAUGGCUGAUUUGGUAUUAACCCCAAUUCAAUUCCAUACCCUCCAAUAUCG